AGAGAGCAGUGACAUUUUACUGUAUCACAAUAGUGGUCUGAAGCACUUAUACACCCCCCCCCCCCCACACUCUCUCUGAAUGAUAACUGUAUGUAUUCUGUUGCCUUUGAUCACUUUUGUAUGUAUCUAAUUGGCACGCAGCAUACUGAUCACGCAGUAGGAUUAGAUGUUGGCAUUAGCUACGCGUAACUGUAAGUCCAGGUUUGAUUCCCAGGGACAUGUGAUUACUCAGGGUCCCUUUGGUGUGGUUUGAUGCUUGAAUUAGAUGUAGGUAGAUAGCAAGAGAGAGAGAGAAAAAGAGAGAGAGAUAAUCUGGUGCUAGCAAAGAUACAGUAGGGAGACGCUCUCAUAGUAGUGAGUUUUGAGGCUUUAAAUAGGAAAAAACAGACCAACACACCCACACUAUAUUCCCCCUGGAGGCCUCUCUCUGCUUGUGACAUAUCCAGUGGCUUCACACACACAGUGUUUCACACAAUAUUAUUGACAGCAGUGUGAUUCAUAUUGCUCCACAAUGGAAGUGCAGUAGGACCCAGUGGACCAACAGAUUGGCAUAAUACCACUGACUGACAGGAGGGAUUGUCAMCAACGACUGGUGAACAACUGAACCUUUCACUGUGGCUGGCGGCCCCACGGGCCCAAUCUAACACUGUGCUGUCUCACAGGUGAAUAGAGGUGUCAAUAUAGAAUCUACAGUAUGACUCAAUCUGUACUGUUCCUCCACAGCAGGGGACACUGGUAGAGUGAAGGACGAUAAUAUAAGAA